GUGAUGUUGGCCGAGUGGUUAUGGCGUUGGGUUUAAGUUUUGCUCGCAGAACUGUUGCACACCUCCAAUGGAUUUUAUCCGCGUGAGUUCAAUCCUCACACAUCACA
rnacentral:tRNA from 2 species